GACGAACGCUGGCGGCGUGCCUAACACAUGCAAGUCAACUUGACUGAAGGAGCAAUCUGACAGUAGAGUGGCGCAAGGGUGCGUAACGCGUAAGUAACUUGCCCCAAGGUAAGGAAUAACGUCGAGAAAUCGGCGCUAAUACCUCAUAAUGCAGCGGAUCCGCAUGGAUAUGUUGUAAAGGUUUACCGCCUUGGGAUAGGCUUGCGUCUGAUUAGUUAGUUGGUGUGGUAACGGCACACCAAGGCUACGAUCAGUAACUGGUCUGAGAGGAUGAUCAGUCACACUGGAACUGAGACACGGUCCAGACUCCUACGGGAGCAGCAGUGAGGAAUAUUGGGCAAUGCUCGAAAGAGUGACCCAGCAACGCCGCGUGGAGGAUGAAGGUAUUCUAUAU
rnacentral:rRNA from 1 species